rnacentral:rRNA from 1 species
UACGAAGGGGGCUAGCGUUGCUCGGAAUCACUGGGCGUAAAGGGUGCGUAGGCGGGUCUUUAAGUCAGGGGUGAAAUCCUGGAGCUCAACUCCAGAACUGCCUUUGAUACUGAGGAUCUUGAGUUCGGGAGAGGUGAGUGGAACUGCGAGUGUAGAGGUGAAAUUCGUAGAUAUUCGCAAGAACACCAGUGGCGAAGGCGGCUCACUGGGACGGUAUUGACGCUGAGGCACGAAAGCGUGGGGAGCAAACAGGG